rnacentral:rRNA from 1 species
CCUACGGGUGGCAGCAGUCGAGAAUCAUUCACAAUGGGGGAAACCCUGAUGGUGCGACGCCGCGUGGGGGAUUGAAGGUCUUCGGAUUGUAAACCCCUGUCAUGUGGGAGCAAAUUAAAAAGAUAGUACCACAAGAGGAAGAGACGGCUAACUCUGUGCCAGCAGCCGCGGUAAUACAGAGGUCUCAAGCGUUGUUCGGAAUCACUGGGCGUAAAGCGUGCGUAGGCUGUUUCGUAAGUCGUGUGUGAAAGGCGCGGGCUCAACCCGCGGAAGGCACAUGAUACUGCGAGACUAGAGUAAGGGAGGGGGAGCCGGAAUUCUCGGUGUAGCAGUGAAAUGCGUAGAUAUCGAGAGGAACACUCGUGGCGAAGGCGGGUUCCUGGACAUUAACUGACGCUGAGGCACGAAGGCCAGGGGAGCGAAAGGGAUUAGAUACCCGGGUAGUC